CUCAGCUCCCAAAGGCAAGUCAUUAGUCAGGAAUCUCAGGUUCCAUUACGAAAAAAGAAAUGUUUCCAGACCUCAAAAAUGCUCAGAAAAAAAAAAAAAAACAGAGUUUGAAAAGGAAAAUCCAUUCUAAAGGUUAAAAAACAGCAAGAGAAAAAAAGGGUCUCGUCAUUAAGAAAUAAGAAAUGAAACUUCACUCCAAGGUUGUUAUUAUUUUUAAAAGUAAUAAUUACCUUCUUUUUCCCACAAAGAGGGAAUAGGAGGUGAUGAAGCUUGAGUCAUUGUCUGGGACUACUAAUAUUGAAUUCUACAGUUAAUUUGACAAAUAAAAUCAGAUUAGUAUAAAGAGGUCAAAAUCUCAUAUGAAGGAGGAAGGUUAAUAACAAAACAUGCUUAUUGUUCUAAUGCCUGUUAUGAAUGUCUCAGAUUAAUUGAAAUUUAAUUCUGUUUUGGUUUUGCCAUUGUUUGCACAGCAAUAAGAGAACAUCAGACACUUUACAAACGCUGACGGCUGACUUAGCUGGAAUACAAAUACACGACCUUUAUAUGAGGGAUGGAAGCUGAGCAUUUAAUCAUGUUCUCCGAUUGGUCCCAGGCUGUACCUUUUGCGAGGCUGAAUAGCAUUACAGUCACAAAAUGCACGCUUUGUGGAGUGCUGGCACCAGAGGAAGACAGGCGGAUUCAGUCCAACAAUAGCUUUCCUGUUCCUACAGGACAGCUUGUGUCUUUACUAGCAAAAUGCUGAAGUGCCAUCAAUUCCUUGCGUGUGUCUUUGCUCCCAUGACCUCCUCUGACGGCGUCUUUCAAAGAAUUUAUUACUACACCAUGAACCUUUAGGAAAGAACACCACUACAGAGGACACCAUAUAAACAACCACUGCAGAGACAUGCUGUCCAGAGAGGGCCUGCAGAUUACAGCUGAGAAUUCAGGAAGCAAUAUCCCAGGUUAGAAAGUGGACGAACAGGACUAGGUGGAGAGAGUAAGGCCACAGACUGGUCUAGACAUAGAAGAGUGGCCAUUAACGAGUUUGGAAUUUUAUUUAUUUAAGUAUUUAUUUAACACAAUCCACUGAAGUGCCACAUUUAGAUUAGAUGUUGGUGGAAACUUUUUGCUGAGAGGGCGGUGAGGCGCUGGCACAGCUGCCCAGAGAAGCUGUGGUGCCCCAUCCCUGGAGGCUCUCAAGGCCAGGUUGGAUGGGACCCUGGGCAGCCUGAGGUGGUGGGGGGCAGCCCUGCCCACAGCACGGGUUGGGGUGGGUGGACCUGUAGGUUUAUUCCAACCCAAACCGUUCUGUGAUUCUAUGAUUCUAUUGUAUUUGGAAUACUCAGUGGAAUAGUGUUCCUCCCAGUUCCUUCAGUUGAUGUCCACAAUAAGAUGUAGCUCCUGACUUGGGCAGUCCGGAGAGAGCAACCAAACAAAACUUCAUUGUUCUUGUGGACAUACAAAAAUAUGAAAUCUCACCACAAAGACUGCUAUUCUUGCCUCACAAAGACUACUAUUCUUGCCUCACUCAGAGCUAGCCAGAUAGCUCAGGUGUCCUAUCUAGGUAAGAGUUUGAGCAAAGAGCCCUAUUGUCCUUGAUACUUUUAAAACAGAAUUUUCCCUCUCUCAGGAGUGAGACACUUGCCUCUGGCUCACCCUCUACCCUCUUCCUUAUGCUGUGUUUAUCAACUCUGCUCAUCCAAGAUAAUCCAGACCAAACAUCCUUUUGUUUGACUGCUUGAAAAUGUUGUGACUCAUGAUCAUGAGGUCUAGCAGCACAGUGGAACCAUCUUUCCACUGCAUCGAGUUCAUCAUAAGGUUAAAUUAGCCUGUGC
ensembl:lncRNA